ACUUCGGUCUGGUGGCGAGUGGCGAACGGGUGAGUAAUGUAUCGGAACGUACCUUUCAGUGGGGGAUAACGUAGCGAAAGUUACGCUAAUACCGCAUAUUCUGUGAGCAGGAAAGCAGGGGAUCGCAAGACCUUGCGCUGAUUGAGCGGCCGAUAUCAGAUUAGCUAGUUGGUGGGGUAAAGGCCUACCAAGGCUACGAUCUGUAGCGGGUCUGAGAGGAUGAUCCGCCACACUGGAACUGAGACACGGUCCAGACUCCUACGGGAGGCAGCAGUGGGGAAUUUUGGACAAUGGGGGCAACCCUGAUCCAGCCAUGCCGCGUGAGUGAAGAAGGCCUUCGGGUUGUAAAGCUCUUUCGGCCGGGAAGAAAUCGCAUAGGUUAAUACCCUGUGUGGAUGACGGUACCGGAAUAAGAAGCACCGGCUAACUACGUGCCAGCAGCCGCGGUAAUACGUAGGGUGCGAGCGUUAAUCGGAAUUACUGGGCGUAAAGCGUGCGCAGGCGGUUUCGUAAGACAGAGGUGAAAUCCCCAGGCUCAACCUGGGAACUGCCUUUGUGACUGUGAAGCUAGAGUACGCAGAGGGGGGUGGAAUUCCACGUGUAGCAGUGAAAUGCGUAGAGAUGUGGAGGAACACCGAUGGCGAAGGCAGCCCCCUGGGCCGAUACUGACGCUCAUGCACGAAAGCGUGGGUAGCAAACAGGAUUAGAUACCCUGGUAGUCCACGCCCUAAACGAUGUCAACUAUGUGUUAGGUGAGUAAAACCAUUUAGUACCGUAGCUAACGCGUGAAGUUGACCGCCUGGGGAGUACGGCCGCAAAGUUAAAACUCAAAGGAAUUGACGGGGACCCGCACAAGCGGUGGAUGAUGUGGAUUAAUUCGAUGCAACGCGAAAAACCUUACCUACCCUUGACAUGUUCAGAAUCCCGGAGAGAUUUGGGA
rnacentral:rRNA from 1 species